GUGUGCCCAUUUUGGCAACACAUAUGUUAAAAUUGGAACAAUACAGAGAAGAUCAGCAUGGCCCUGCACAAGGAUGACACGCAAAUUCACAAAGUGUUCCAUAUUUUU